rnacentral:lncRNA from 1 species
UGAGGUUUUGAGACAAAGAUUGAAGACACGAGAUGAACUAGGGUUAGAGAUGAGAUGGUGUUGGUGAAGAUGUUGAUGAAGAUUGGUCCUUCCAUGAAGGAGGAGGCAUUGGUGAAAACGAUGGCUUCGAUUUCCUCCUCGCGGAGAGGAAUUCCUCCUACAGAAUCGCUCUGCUGGAGAGAAAAAGGGCAUCUGCCCAGGUUUGUGCCUCGAGACGGCGGCGCUUCAUCCCAAAAGUUAU